rnacentral:tRNA from 1 species
GGAGAGGUGGCCGAGCGGUUGAUGGCGGCGGCUUGCUAAGCCGUUAUACGUCGUAAAGGCGUAUCGAGGGUUCGAAUCCCUCCCUCUCCG